CAUGUCUAGUAUAGCAUUAUACAGCGAAACUGCGAAUGGCUCAUUAAAUCAGUUAUCGUUUAUUUGAUAGUACCUUACUACUUGGAUAACCGUGGUAAUUCUAGAGCUAAUACAUGCUAAAAAUCCCGACUCACGGAGGGAUGUAUUUAUUAGAUUAAAAACCAAUGCCCCUCGGGGCUUUCUGGUGAUUCAUAAUAACUUCUCGAAUCGCAUGGCCUUGCGCCGGCGAUGGUUCAUUCAAAUUUCUGCCCUAUCAACUUUCGAUGGCAGGGUCUUGGCCUGCCAUGGUUACAACGGGUAACGGAGGGUUAGGGCUCGACCCCGGAGAAGGAGCCUGAGAAACGGCUACUACAUCCAAGGAAGGCAGCAGGCGCGCAAAUUACCCAAUCCCGACACGGGGAGGUAGUGACAAUAAAUACUGAUACAGGGCUCUUUUGGGUCUUGUAAUUGGAAUGAGUACAAUUUAAAUCCCUUAACGAGGAACAAUUGGAGGGCAAGUCUGGUGCCAGCAGCCGCGGUAAUUCCAGCUCCAAUAGCGUAUAUUAAAGUUGUUGCAGUUAAAAAGCUCGUAGUUGAACCUUGGGCCUGGCUGGCCGGUCCGCCUCACCGCGUGCACUGGUUCGGCCGGGCCUUUCCCUCUGGGGAGCCCUAUGCCUUUCAUUAGGUGUAGUGGGGAACCAGGACUUUUACUGUGAAAAAAUUAGAGUGUUCAAAGCAGGCCUAUGCUCGAAUACAUCAGCAUGGAAUAAUAGAAUAGGACGUGUGGGUUCUAUUUUGUUGGUUUCUACGACCGCCGUCAUGAUUAAUUAUGAACAGGCGAGGGGUGUCAGUAGUUCAAUUGUCAGAGGUGAAAUUCGAGGUAUUUAGUGAUUAAUUAAAUACUGACAAAAGCAGUCACCAAGGGAUGUGUGUU
rnacentral:rRNA from 1 species